rnacentral:rRNA from 1 species
UACGUAGGGUGCGAGCGUUGUCCGGAAUUAUUGGGCGUAAAGAGCUCGUAGGCGGUUCAGUAAGUCGGGUGUGCAAACUCUGGGCUCAACCCAGAGACGCCACCCGAUACUGCUGUGACUUGAGUACGGUAGGGGAGUGGGGAAUUCCUGGUGUAGCGGUGAAAUGCGCAGAUAUCAGGAGGAACACCAGUGGCGAAGGCGCCACUCUGGGCCGUAACUGACGCUGAGGAGCGAAAGCGUGGGUAGCAAACAGG